rnacentral:rRNA from 1 species
GAUGAACGCUGGCGGCAGGCCUAACACAUGCAAGUCGAGCGGCAGCGGGAAGUAGUUUACUACUUUGCCGGCGAGCGGCGGACGGGUGAGUAAUGCUUGGGAAUAUGCCUUAUGGUGGGGGACAACAGUUGGAAACGACUGCUAAUACCGCAUAAUCUCUAAGGAGCAAAGCAGGGGACCUUCGGGCCUUGCGCUAAAAGAUGAGCCUGCGUAAGAUUAGCUUGUUGGUGAGGUAAUGGCUCACCAAGGCGACGAUCUUUAGCUGGUCUGAGAGGAUGAUCAGCCACACUGGAACUGAGACACGGUCCAGACUCCUACGGGAGGCAGCAGUGGGGAAUAUUGCACAAUGGGCGCAAGCCUGAUGCAGCCAUACCGCAUGUGUGAAGAAGGCUUUCGGGUUGUAAAGCACUUUCAGCGAGGAGGAAGGAGUUGUAGUUAAUACCUGCAACUAUUGAUGGUACCUGCAAAAGAAGCACCGGCUAACUCCGUGCCAGCAGCCGCGGUAAUACGGAGGGUGCAAGUAUUAAUCGGAAUUACUGGGCGUAAAGCGCGCGUAGGCGGCUUGUUAAGCUAGAUGUGAAAGCCCCGGGCUCAACCUGGGAACUGCAUUUAGAACUGACUCGCUAGAGUACAGUAGAGGGUGGUAGAAUUUCAGGUGUAGCGGUGAAAUGCGUAGAGAUCUGAAGGAAUACCAGUGGCGAAGGCGGCCACCUGGACAAUAACUGACGCUCAUGUACGAAAGCGUGGGGAGCAAACGGGAUUAGAUACCCCGGUAGUCCACGCCGUAAACGAUGUCAACUAGCCGACUGGCGCCUUGAGCGCUGGGUGGCGCAGCUAACGCGAUAAGUAGACCGCCUGGGGAGUACGGCCGCAAGGUUAAAACUCAAAUGAAUUGACGGGGGCCCGCACAAGCGGUGGAGCAUGUGGUUUAAUUCGAUGCAACGCGAAGAACCUUACCUACUCUUGACAUCCACGGAAUUUAGCAGAGAUGCUUUAGUGCCUUCGGGAACCGUGAGACAGGUGCUGCAUGGCUGUCGUCAGCUCGUGUUGUGAAAUGUUGGGUUAAGUCCCGUAACGAGCGCAACCCUUGUCCUUAUUUGCCAGCACGUAAUGGUGGGAACUCUAAGGAGACUGCCGGUGACAAACCGGAGGAAGGUGGGGACGACGUCAAGUCAUCAUGGCCCUUACGAGUAGGGCUACACACGUGCUACAAUGGUGAGUACAGAGGGAAGCAAACUUGCGAGAGUAAGCGGAUCCCUUAAAGCUCAUCGUAGUCCGGAUCGGAGUCUGCAACUCGACUCCGUGAAGUCGGAAUCGCUAGUAAUCGCAAAUCAGAAUGUUGCGGUGAAUACGUUCCCGGGCCUUGUACACACCGCCCGUCACACCAUGGGAGUGGGUUGCAAAAGAAGUGGGUAGGCUAACCUUCGGGAGGUCGCUCACCACUUUGUGAUUCAUGACUGGGGUG